rnacentral:rRNA from 1 species
GAUGAACGCUGGCGGCGUGCCUCAAACAUGCAAGUCGAGCGAGGCUAUGAAUUACCGCAAGGUAAGGCAUAGCCUAGCGGCGAACGGGUGAGUAACACGUGGGUAACCUACCUGGAAGACAGGGAUAACGAUUCGAAAGGGUCGCUAAUACCUGAUAAUAUCCAUCUGCCGGAUGGCGGAGGGAAGAAAGGGGAAACCCGCUUUCAGAUGGGCCCGCGUCCCAUCAGCUAGUUGGUAAGGUAAAGGCUUACCAAGGCGACGACGGGUAGCCGGUCUGAGAGGAUGUACGGCCACACUGGGACUGAGAUACGGCCCAGACUCCUACGGGAGGCAGCAGUUGGGAAUCUUAGGCAAUGGACGAAAGUCUGACCUAGCGACGCCGCGUGAGGGAAGAAGGCCUUCGGGUUGUAAACCUCUGUCAUGGGGAAGAAGGAAGUAGACGGUACCCGAACGAGGAAGCCCCUCGCUAACUACGUG